AGGUAGAUGUGACCCUUACACUCUCCACAGACUUCUCAAGCUCUGACUCCUGGACAGAGGUCUUUGGGAAACUGCUGGGCUUGGUCUUCUUUCCGGGUUUUGAAGCACCCUUUCCGCACCCCUGCUCACCACACCUCCAGGACCUGAAUGAGGGUCUUCAGUCUGCAUGGUGGCAGAGCCCAGAGGGCAUUGGCUUCAUUUACUUGUUCAUUUGAUUGGCCAACAAUGAGCUUGGUGCUGAGGACAGCCAGAGGGCAAGGCCAGAGUGAACCUGCUUUCUGGAAGCUCACCAUCUACUGGGACGUGGACAGGCAAGCAAGCAUAAAGACUGGAGAGAUGGCUCAAUGGUUAAGAGCACUGACUGCUCUUCCAGCGGUCCUGAGUUCAAUUCCCAGGAACCACAUAGUGGCUCAAAAACAUCUGUAAUGGGAUCUGAUGCCCUCUUCUGGUGUGUCUGAAGACAGACAGCUACCAUGCACUCAUAUAAAUG
rnacentral:lncRNA from 1 species